GAUGAACGCUGGCGGCGUGCCUAAUACAUGCAAGUCGAGCGAACAGACGAGGAGCUUGCUCCUCUGACGUUAGCGGCGGACGGGUGAGUAACACGCGGAUAACCUACCUAUAAGACUGGGAUAACUUCGGGAAACCGGAGCUAAUACCGGAUAAUAUAUUGAACCGCAUGGUUCAAUAGUGAAAGACGGUUUUGCUGUCACUUAUAGAUGGAUCCGCGCCGCAUUAGCUAGUUGGUAAGGUAACGGCUUACCAAGGCAACGAUGCGUAGCCGACCUGAGAGGGUGAUCGGCCACACUGGAACUGAGACACGGUCCAGACUCCUACGGGAGGCAGCAGUAGGGAAUCUUCCGCAAAGGGCGAAAGCCUGACGGAGCAACGCCGCGUGAGUGAUGAAGGUCUUCGGAUCGUAAAACUCUGUUAUUAGGGAAGAACAAAUGUGUAAGUAACUAUGCACGUCUUGACGGUACCUAAUCAGAAAGCCACGGCUAACUACGUG
rnacentral:rRNA from 1 species